rnacentral:rRNA from 1 species
UUACACAUGCAAGUCGAACGAUGAUCCGGUGCUUGCACCGGGGAUUAGUGGCGAACGGGUGAGUAACACGUGAGUAACCUGCCCUUAACUCUGGGAUAAGCCUGGGAAACUGGGUCUAAUACCGGAUAUGACUCCUCAUCGCAUGGUGGGGGGUGGAAAGCUUUUUUGUGGUUUUGGAUGGACUCGCGGCCUAUCAGCUUGUUGGUGAGGUAAUGGCUCACCAAGGCGACGACGGGUAGCCGGCCUGAGAGGGUGACCGGCCACACUGGGACUGAGACACGGCCCAGACUCCUACGGGAGGCAGCAGUGGGGAAUAUUGCACAAUGGGCGCAAGCCUGAUGCAGCGACGCCGCGUGAGGGAUGACGGCCUUCGGGUUGUAAACCUCUUUCAGUAGGGAAGAAGCGAAAGUGACGGUACCUGCAGAAGAAGCGCCGGCUAACUACGUGCCAGCAGCCGCGGUAAUACGUAGGGCGCAAGCGUUAUCCGGAAUUAUUGGGCGUAAAGAGCUCGUAGGCGGUUUGUCGCGUCUGCUGUGAAAGUCUGGGGCUCAACUCCGGAUCUGCGGUGGGUACGGGCAGACUAGAGUGAUGUAGGGGAGACUGGAAUUCCUGGUGUAGCGGUGAAAUGCGCAGAUAUCAGGAGGAACACCGAUGGCGAAGGCAGGUCUCUGGGCAUUAACUGACGCUGAGGAGCGAAAGCAUGGGGAGCGAACAGGAUUAGAUACCCUGGUAGUCCAUGCCGUAAACGUUGGGCACUAGGUGUGGGGGACAU